ensembl:lncRNA
UUUAAAAUCAAUUUCCGAUGUUUGUGACUAUGAAGUAUUGUCAAGAGAAUGGAAAAGGAACCGUUCCUCAGUUGUUUAUGGAUUGAGAACCUGAAAGUGUGCGUGCAGGCACGCUGCACAGCCGGGCUGGCGGGCGGCCCUCUGGCUCCAGGCAGGGCAGCAGGCAGUGUGUGCUUGGACUAGAGAAGCUGUGUGAUGUGCUGUGAUCCCAGCAGGUCACCAGGGAGCGGGGCACAGUAAUAAAACAAGUCAAGCCCAGCUCCCACUUUCGCGCCUUGUGGUACCCAUCCUGCUUGCAGUUGGCUGGAUAGUGGGUUGUGCACUGAUGGUUUACAUUGUCUUCUCCUGACAGAAGACAGAAGAAUUUACGAUGACGGUGAUCAGAAGAACUUGAAAGUUAAUUUGGG